UUUGUGUGAAAAUCUUAAUGCGGUUCACAGAAUACAUCUACUUACCAAGUUUCAACAGUAUAGUUCUUAUAGUUUCAGAGAAAAGUGGCUGUGACAUACGGAUGGACAGACAGACAGACAGACGUGACGAAUCUAUAAGGGUUCCGUUUUUUGCCAUUUGGCUACGGAACCCUUAAAAGCUAAUUAUUUCGUAUUUCUAACCGACGGAUGGAGAUCAAAUCGAUAAAAUGUUAUGUUUAU